UAAACCUUUUAAGAUAACAACAGCAAAAAAACCCCAGCCUAUCAUAAUACUAUGACAUAAAACACAUCUUUUAAAACCAGUUAUCAAAGAAUAAUGCACUUAUCACUCAGACUGGAGGUGUGUAUGAAAAUCAUACUCGAGUAUUCUCCAGAAGAAUAUGUCUAGACAUUGGAAAUAUAGUUUGUUGGCCUCUCUCAUCAGCUGAAGCCUAAGUAUGAUACACCUGUCAUCAGACAUGGCAGCAAACAUUAGCCUGUGUGAUUCAUUGCUGGUUUUGCUAUAAUUCAGUUAAUGAUGACCAUAUAUAUUUUAAUCAUCUCAUUGAAUUCAGUUUAAUUCAUUCAUAUUAUGUCAAGGAACUGUAACAAUUAUAUUGCAAGAAGAGAGAGAGACAGAGAUGGCAGAGGAAAGUUUCCAGGCAGCAAAUUUUGGAAUUAACUUCUUGUUCCUUAUUCAUUAUUAAUACAAGUAAUUUUAGAACAAAACAUAGGAUGAACUUUUAUUAUUAGUUGCUCAUUACAGCUUGCUAGGGUUGUGUCCAUUUUUAAACAUUUUAUAUUUUUCUGGUUAAUUAAAAAUUUAAAAAUUUAAAAAUAGAUGGGCUAAAUGUGACAAGAUAACUGAACCCCUCACAGUUUUAGCAGUUUACUGAAGGGAAAAGAACCUGAAUGAGUGAAGUUUCCUUCAGUUGUAAAUGUAGGCCUUUAUUUAGAUAUUAAAUUUAGUCAAUGAUAAUAAAAGUAGAAGAUCAACUGGACAGAAUAAGUAGAUGAAUGGCAUAGCUGGAAAACAAUGGUGUUUUUUUUAAACAAGCAUCUUGCAGGUAAGGUAUAGUUGUAAUGAGACACCCUGAAGCUGGUCUGCAGACUGGAUAUCAACACAUAACCACUGAACAGAAAUCUCUCCAUCUGACAGAGUCAGAAAUCUAGGGAGGAAGCCUCCAUCAUAGGCAGAACAAACAGCAAAUUAUGAAUGAGGAAAAAACCCCUCAGCAUAAAUCAUAUCAGUGGUGAAGUGAAUAGAGAUAAGAGGGCUUUUUAAUUCAGACAGCUGGAAAAUCUGGAGAAACCUCUGAACAAUAACAAGCCCAUGGGGAAAGGAGGGACAGGAGACCAGGGAAGUGAGUUUAAGAGACACUGAUUUUCAGAUGCAUCAUUAGGUCUUAGAAAUUUUUACUGGCUAAAGAGCUCUUGAACAAUAUCCUGUGACACAAAGGAAAGAUUAGGAAGUCAUUCAUGGCUUUAUUUUACAAAAAAACAGUUGAGGUGCAUCCACUUUUGCCAUAUUGCUGUGAAGUUUAGCACCUGAGAAAAUCAGAUAACCGAGUUCAGAGUUGAAUGUGAAAAACAAACCUUCACUGAAAUAGGCAGUAUUACUCAUUUCCUAUGAAAGUCUUCUUUAAAUAUAAGGGAAUUAAUGUUACAGAAGAUUGUCUGUGUUGAUUUGUAGUUGACCUUUUUUUGCUCCCUUUUGCUGCUCAUUCUGAUGCUGGCCUGUGCUCUACCAGUGUUCUGAGUCUCACCUGCCAAUUUUUUUUUUUUUCCACUUCUGAAGCUCUCCUUCCUCACCUUCCAAGCAUAAUACAUCCUCUUAAUUUUCACAAAGCUAGUGUGUUGUCUGCAUUCAAGCCUCUCAUGUCAGAAUCUAUUUAACACCUAUGCAAAAAAAUAUUUUACAAUAAAUAGUUCUACUAACAGACAGGUGUCAUUGUUCCCCAGAAGCCAAUUAAAGCAUGAAGAUAAUGUCAAUAUGUAUUGAGCCCCAUUUUCAUUAGUAUAAUCCAUGUUAUACUUCUGUGAGACUGAAAUAAAAACUUUGCAGUUAGAAUUUACACCUGCACUCCAGUCACACAAAUUUAAUCCUCAUAAACUCUGAUCUAAAGUACUGUUAAGAGGGGAAUCUUUAGAAAGAAACCUAAAAAUGUUUAGCAUAGUUGAUAUACACUUACUCUGGAUGGACAUUUGACCUACUCAUUUCUUUGCCCUGCCUGCCUCCUUCCCUCCUCCUCUGGCUCCCAGCCCCUAGGAACAGUAAAGUUGCACCCAGAGAAUGCUGUUAUAAUAAUUACUGACUGCCCUGUCCUCAAAGGAGCGAAGUAAUUUGUGUGCAGUGCUGCUACCUUGAUUCAGAUCAAGGAAGCUCAGUGCCUUCCCAUCAAACAUUUUGCUAUUUCAAAUGUUUAAGUAAUGACUGCACGCAUAUGAAAUCCUAAAAACACUACACCAGAUUUGCAGUAAGUUGGCAGGAAUAAUAAUACAUAUUGUAGCUUGUACUCUUUUAAUAUUUAGCAGGCAUACAACAUGUGUGCAAUAUAGUACAAAAUCCGCCAUCCUAGCACAAAUAACAACAGAGUGAAAAAAAAGUAAAAGUUUUGCAAGAGCUACUUUCUCCUGAACUCAAGUACUCCAUCAUGGGCUUGACCUAAAUUGUGAAGCUAAUGGAGAGGAUUCUGGACACUCUCCAGAAUCUUCAGAUAAAUUAAAUAUGAACAUGAAUAGUGCCCAGGGGCCCUGCAUUCUCUGGGAUGCCACAGGCAUGGGACUCGCAGAGAAUCCACCCUUGCUGCAGAACCGUGUUUCCAGAUUUUAAUUAACUGAGUUUCCUCUGUUAAGCUUUUCCUGUGAAAGCCUCCCACAGCAAAAACACAUCUUAAAAGCAUUAUGCCUCGGCAGAUGAAAAUAAAUCUAGCUGUUGAAUUUUCAAAAACUUUAUUUGAAAGAACAUAUUUUCAAGGACUAAGAUCACUCAUUCCAGAUACAUGGUUCAUGAACUCAAAACCAUCACGUCCAAGUACUGCAUGUUCUCAUCUUUCCUAACUGCCAUAUGCUACUAAGUCAUUUCAUUUUAUAUGCAGCCUCAUGGCUCCAGGCUUCAUGGGCAGAUGGCUCUUUGCCACCUAAUCAAAUUCACACAUCAAGGGCAUCCCAAGUGAGGUCCUUUGUAGAACUGUAUCCUCCUUUAGUUCCUCUCUCUUUCCUAAACAUUUGCACAUCAGCACAAACUUGUACUACCAAAAGGUUCAUAAUUUUCAGAUAUAAGACACUCAUUCUUCAAUUAAGCACAACAUAGUACAAGCAGUUCUAUCCCAUUCACUCUAAAAAUACAAUUCAGUGCCUUGGAAUUUCACAGCAUACCCACACAGUCCUUAAUAUCCCUUUUGCUUCUAUUUUCGGUCUUUCCUUCUUCCAUAGCUGCAUCUGUUCAUUGGGCAGAAUGUGUCUAUGUCCUCUGCCACCACAUACGAAGUUAUAAUAAUGCAUCUUAACCCCUGCAACCAAGUGACAGUUCUUGCGCUACUGCACCAAGCUUGAUGCAGUAUCUAGAUUUGGAUGCCUUCUAAUUUUCUUUAACUGCAUAUUGAUAAAAAUGAAUUUUCAUGGAUCAGCUCAUCUUAACAUAGGCUUGUGGCUGUUGCCUUUGAUGGAUUCAUAAUCUCAGAGUUGCAUUUGAUUCUCUGGAGCAUCCUAUUAGUAAGACAGGAAAGUUCUCAUAUUAAUAACUGUGGUACUUCUUCAAGCCACAGUGACCUACAUUGCCUCACUGGGUUGGUUAGAUUUUUCAAAUAGGCUUUUAUCACAUUUUAUUGCCACAAUUUCUGUAACUCUUUACUCUCUGUGUUACUGAUCACAUCUAUUAAAUACUUGUAUAAGCACACAUGUUGUGUAACUGAAUGCACAGCAGGGUCAGGCACUGAUGAAACAUUAUUUCACAAACGUGUACAUUUUUUCAACUUAAAAUAUAUUGCUUUCUUUUACAUACAGAAUCUCCUCCUCUUAUCCCUUCUAGGAUACGUUUUACAGACCCAGGAUGGACACAAGAAACAAGGUCAUCUACAUAGAGAGUGACUAAACCCUCCACUUGUACCUUUUCCUCUAAAGAAGGAACAGUAUAGUAAUUUUUAAUACUGCCAUUAACAGCUACAGAAAAAACUCACCCUGUUAAGAUAAACAAAGUUGUUUAGUAUGAACAUUUUAAGGACACCUAAACCCAGUUUUGUAAUCUAUAUUAAAAAUAAGCGAUCAGCUAUCCAAUACCAUUUAUUUUAAGAUAACAUAUCUGGAAGAGUGUUACUUGAAAUAUUUUUAUAGAUGAGCAAUGGUGGAAUUGUGAUGGUACAUACCAUAUUGAUACUGCAGAGGCCAAAUAGAACAGAAAACAGAAAUGAAGAGGUCUCUAUACUAGUUACUUCCAAAUGUUCAUAGUAGCACUUAAUAAAUCCCAUUUUUCAAUAUCAUGUCUUACAUCUAGCUUUUCUAAGCAAUUUAAUGUUAUGUACCUCAAAAGGCUACAGCCAAACAGCACGCACAGCUCACCUUCUCAUGCUACAGUAAGUCAUCUCUGAAGAUCAAAAAAGGGCUAUCCCAGAGAAUACAGUGACCCAGAAGCCAAAGAUAAACUGUUUACAAUUUGUUCCAGACAUCACCUAUUUAGUUGCACAGAGUUCCUUAUAUUUACAGCCCCUUCUAUCGCUCUGCUGAGAGUAGUAACCUGAAUAUGCCAACAUAGUGGGAGCCUGCUAAACAUGGACUAAAUUUACUCCAAUAUCUUACAGCUGCAAUGGUUUAACAAGUGCUGCACAAGCACAGUGAAUAAUCCCAUUUAUAAUCAGUUAAGGUAAUCAUCCUUAUCCUCCUUCAAUAGACCCUUCUUCCCCAAGGACAGAUAACUCAUCUUGAGACACUACUCAGUUAUCCAUUUCAAUAGACAAGAGGUCUCAUGUCCCAGAAAGCACUACCUUGAUAACUUUCAAGCUGUUUUGAAAAUAUGACAGACAAAAUCUAGUAAAUGGAUGUUUAAAGAAAGAUCCAAGUUUUUGACAUUAUUUAAAAAAAACCCAAAACAAAUCUGUCUGCCACAAUGUCAUUUUCACUAUGAUCAGAGCCACGUUAUUUAUACUCUAAAACUAGUAUUUGGCUUGCUAGCCUAAGCUAGGUCCUCAAAGUACUAAAAAUACCCUGCAAACCAACACAAAAAACCCCCACCCACAAACCCCUGUGGUUUUUGUAACAAAACCAGGAAGAUGUUCUACAAGGCAUUUUUUAAUUCUUGUUUCUUUUGAUAACAUGCCUACAUCACCUCAUCUAUCUGGUCCAGAGCCAUGCAGCCACCAAAGCUGUUUUCUGCAUCGUGAGAUGGUGCUUUAAGAUACCAAACUCUGACAGAAGCACCACUCUGUUGCUCAAGCUUUGAAAACUAAUUGCACCCUAUUGGCCUGAUCUAAAUUAGGAGCCUAGUUAACGCUCCACUUAGUGCUGAUUGGGCUCGGAUGGAAACCUGAAGCCAUGCUGCUUGGAGUUAGGUGACAAGUUUUCAGCUUUUUCCAGAAUGAGGCAGCUGCAUCAGGGGGUGCUGCAGACAACAAUUUUGGAUUUAAGCAAGCAGAACAGUAUCACCUGCCUCAAGUGAUAAUGUUUGGAACAAAAGAUCAUGGAGGAACACCACUGGGUGAGUUGUAGUAGUCUGGACUGAGGUACUGCUUCAUGCCAACAAAAGCAAAUCCUACAGGGAAAGCAGCGAGGCAGAAGCAGUGGAGUAGAAAGAUAUAUCCACACGCUUCAGCUACUGGAACUCUUGGAAAAGUACUGUAUUGGGUCUGACAAGACACCAGUAGCAAAUAUGAAACAGUAAAGUAUAAGAAUAAAACAUUCCUAGACUGUUAAUAUUUGAAUAUCUUACAGUUAGGGGUAGUCAGUAAUUUAGGAUAUUUCUGAGUGGACACUGUAUUUAAACUAACGUUUUUAAAUAUCACAUUUCACAUAUAAGUCUAAUCCUUUUGAUCCUAUGACCCUGAUAAAAGUUUCAUAGCAGUGAGUUCCACUACUACAUUACACAGUGUAAUGAAAUGUUUGAAACUUGCUGCAUGAUCACUUCAUUGAAUUCUUAAUUUUUAUAAGCUAUCAAACAUUCCCAAAUCAGUGUUAUGGACAAAGUCAAACUGGUCCUCUGUCACAUUUAUUUAUUUAUUUAUUUUUAA